rnacentral:misc_RNA from 1 species
GCUAAUUUCAGUCUCAAUGGCACCGAGAUCCACACCGUCUCCCGCAACAACGAGAACCACCUGACUGUCGGGACCGUGUUCCGCCUGGGACAGUAAGUCUGCAGCUACAUGAACUGGGUUGGCAUGUUUAUCGGCAAUGACCAGCACUUCUGAUGGGCCUGCAGGCAUGUCGAUGGAAACCAUGGCUUCACUGUUUUGGAGAAUCAUU